UGACCAUAAUAGUUCGUUUCCAGUUUGUCCGUUCUUAAAAGAAACCAAAUUCUCGAUAGAUUUCAACCGGUCCUAACGAAUUUCCCAUUUUUCACAACCUUUUACUAAAAUAAAAAAGAAAGCAAACAUUCGGCAUUCUUUAUCAAUGAGAAAACGUAAAUUAAGUAUAAAUUCUCGCCAACACUGAACUUGACGUCACCGGUGGGUGUGUGCUACAUAUGAUCAACCUGUUGAAUUUUAAUCCUUCCCUUUCGUUUCUUCACGUGUCUACCUCUACCUGUCGUUAAUCUUGUCUUUGUCUAACGCGUUAAUCGGUUUAUGUACCUACGAAAUUCUUACUUGGAAUUCCGCAGUCGCUGCCGCGCCGGUGGCCGGUGUAGUGUCGAGUUAUACCUAUUCAUUUAUCGUAGUGAAAUUUUCGAGUAACCAGUUUUUUGUAACGUGCAAUUUCUUUGAAAAUUAUUAGCUACGUACGUACAUGAGUUUUGAGAACUGAGCACCCAAUUUGGAUCCUCUGAUAGGUUUCAAAUAAAUUAUGCAUUCUGAUCCCGUUAAAUACUUCCCACCACGUACCUGUAGUAAUUCAUCGCAACACUAAUCAUGAGACGUAAAUUAUGGAAAAUUCAGCGCCAGCUGAUAAUACAAAUCAUCGGAGAAGACAUCGUGGUUUCCAAUUGGACAUCGAUAACGCUAUUUUACUCGGAAAUACCAGAUUCCAGAUCACUCGGCGCAAUUGAAAACGUAUUAAUUGCUUCUCUUCUUACAGGAUUAAUUCUAUCCACCUUUUGUUUGCUCGUACACUUGUACAAAUUUUGCAAAAGCGAGAGUCCGCAAAGUUUACCUACUAAAAACCUAACGUUUUAUUGUUUCUGUUUAUUAAUUUCGUUUUUGUACGAGUUCACUAGAGCUAUACUGAGAGGUACAUGUUGCGAAUUUUUUUGCUGGAUUUCGUUUUAUAAAUUGUUAACGAUACCGUUUUUGAAAUUCGUCAUAGCUUUAGAUGUGUUUUUUUGCUUGAGGAGAACCGUUUUAAGUUUGGAGAAAUUUUCAGGGUCGCAUAAUUUUACGUUUAUUUUAUAUUGCGUUAUUAGUGCUGGGAUGCCUUUGUUGAGUAUUUCAUUGCUGGGUUACUUUUUGGUGAAUUCUUUCGAAGUGUAUGCUGUGAUACUUAAGAUGGCUGCGGGGAUUCGACUGAUGCGUUUAGUUUUGUUUUUUUGCGUUUUAAGGUAUAUCAGGUUGGCUAGUUUCGGUAAUACUUUAUUAAUACCGAAUGUUUUGCUGCAUAUACGUCUUAUUGUGGUGGUAGGAGUGUUAUCGGCUAUUUCCGAUAUUGUCGAUUUAAUUUGCAUGAUGGUUGAUUAUAAAAUCGAUAUAUUAGGUCGUAUACCUCAAUUGGGUAUCGUUUUCGAAGGAUUCGUUAUCGGUUUAUUUUUCACGUUUAAGAAAGAUACGUUUAAAAGUACCGCUGGUUGAAGUACUUACUCGAAAGUAUAAUGGGUUGAUUUAAUUGAAAAUUUUGUGUCGUGGAAUUGACGAUAUGACACAAGAGUGAACCUUGCUGUGGAAUCGGGAGUGUUACGAGUACUUUGAGUAAAGUGAGAUAAUUUUUGUGGUAUGUAUUGUAUGUAUAACCUGACGCCUGAAAGAAGUUUAACCGAUAAGUUUCAGGAAUUUUUACGUGAGAAAUUGGACUGAAAAAAUUGAUUUUUUUUCAAAAGAUUAUGUUGAUUUUCCAAGCCAAAUUUACUGUUUCAGACGGAAACAAAAGGCCAUGUGUUGGAAAAAUUGCUGUAAAAUUUUAUCAUCUGAAAUUUUUUUUUCAAUUGUAUCCUCAACUUAGUUUACAAGACCCACAAAGAUAAAAUUUGGUGCUCCAAAACACAGAAUUUCAAUCACUUUUUCCAACAACUUCGACAGCUUAUAAACCCCAAUUUGUACAUCACAACAAUUAAAAUUGGAAUGAAAGAGGGUAAUCUGUAAAUUUGGCUUUGAAAAUCAAAAUAAUCUUUUGAAGAAAAUUAAGGAAAAUCCUCAAUUUCCAAAAUGAGUGAUCAAUAAAAUUCAGUGUUUUUUUUUUCAAAUGUCACAAUCUGAUUGUUCUUGUUCAUUUCAACUUCUCUCGCUUAAAUUUUUGGAAUUUGUCGGUUGAACUUCGCUCUGGCAUUUAAUAAAUAAAUUGAAGAUGAAAGUGCUGUAUUGGGCCUUAUAAAAGUGUACCAUCUGAGCUCAGAUUUGCACUAAAAAAAUGAAAAUUUUGAAAAAAAUGGUGUAUGAUUAGUAAUAAGUAGCCUACUGAGUAAAUACAUAUACGAAAUUACGAAUUGAAGUGCAUAUUUUAAGUAAAGUAUAGAUUUUGAUUAAAUCUUAAGAGUCGUAAGGCGGAGAUUGCCUAAUGUUACAUUGUUUUGUUUCUAUAAUAUGCUAAUUGAAGGAAAUUUCAUCUAAAUGUUUUUAUAAACAAUUAAAAUUGUUAUGUGCAUGUGAAAUGAUCUGUUGAAUAAAUAUUGAAACUCCUA